rnacentral:rRNA from 1 species
CCUACGGGAGACAGCAGUGAGGAAUAUUGGUCAAUGGACGAGAGUCUGAACCAGCCAAGUAGCGUGAAGGAUGACUGCCCUAUGGGUUGUAAACUUCUUUUAUAUGGGAAUAAAAUGUUCCACGUGUGGGAUUUUGUAUGUACCAUAUGAAUAAGGAUCGGCUAACUCCGUGCCAGCAGCCGCGGCAAUACGGAGGAUCCGAGCGUUAUCCGGAUUUAUUGGGUUUAAAGGGAGCGUAGGUGGAUUGUUAAGUCAGUUGUGAAAGUUUGCGGCUCAACCGUAAAAUUGCAGUUGAAACUGGCAGUCUUGAGUACAGUAGAGGUGGGCGGAAUUCGUGGUGUAGCGGUGAAAUGCUUAGAUAUCACGAAGAACUCCGAUUGCGAAGGCAGUUCACUGGACUGCAACUGACACUGAGGCUCGAAAGUGUGGGUAUCAAACAGGAUUAGAUACCCUAGUAGUC